UUCGCAAUGCCCGAAAGGGUGACGAAGCGACGCCGCGUGUGGGAAGAAGGCCUUCGGGUUGUAAACCACUGUCGGGAGUUAAGAAAUGCAAGAAUGUUAAUAGCGUUUUUGCUUGACUAAGGCUCCGGAGGAAGCCACGGCUAACUCUGUGCCAGCAGCCGCGGUAAUACAGAGGCGGCAAGCGUUGUUCGGAAUUAUUGGGCGUAAAGAGCACGUAGGCGGCUAUAUAAGUCGGUUGCGAAAGCCUUCCGCUCAACGGGAGAACAGCAUCCGAUACUGUAUGGCUUGAGUGUGGGAGGGGAGAGCGGAACUUCUGGUGGAGCGGUGAAAUGCGUAGAUAUCAGAAGGAACGCCGGCGGCGAAAGCGGCUCUCUGGCCCAUAACUGACGCUGAGUGUGCGAAAGCUAGGGGAGCAAACGGGAUUAGAUACCCCGGUAGUCCUAGCCGUAAACGAUGGGCACUAAGUAGAGGGGUUUU
rnacentral:rRNA from 1 species